rnacentral:rRNA from 1 species
UAGGGAAUCUUCGGCAAUGGGGGGAACCCUGACAGAGCAACGCCGCGUGAGUGAAGAAGGUUUUCGGAUCGUAAAGCUCUGUUGUUAAGGAAGAACGAGUGUGAGAAUGGAAAGUUCAUACUGUGACGGUACUUAACCAGAAAGGGACGGCUAACUACGUGCCAGCAGCCGCGGUAAUACGUAGGUCCCGAGCGCUGUCCGGAUUUAUUGGGCGUAAAGCGAGCGCAGGCGGUUAGAGAAGUCUGAAGUUAAAGGCAGUGGCUCAACCAUAGUAGGCUUUGGAAACUGUUUAACUUGAGUGCAGAAGGGGGGAGUGAAAUUCCAUGUGUAACAGUAAAAUGCGUAGAUAUAUGGAGGAACACCGGUGGCGAAAGCGGCUCUCUGGUCUGUAACUGACGCUGAGGCUCGAAAGCGUGGGGAGCGAACAGG